rnacentral:rRNA from 1 species
CAGCCGCCGCGGUAAUACAGAGGAUGCAAGCGUUAUCCGGAAUGAUUGGGCGUAAAGCGUCUGUAGGUGGCUUUUCAAGUCCGCCAUCAAAUCCCAAGGCUCAACCCUGGACAGGCGGUGGAAAAUACCAAGCUGGAGUACGGUAGGGGCAGAGGGAAUUUCCGGUGGAGCGGUGAAAUGCGUUGAGGUUGGAAAGAACACCAACGGUGAAAGCACUCUGCUGGGCCGACACUGACACUGAGAGACGAAAGCUAGGGGAGCAAAUGGGAUUAGAUACCCGGGUAGUCCCUGUCUCUUAUAC